rnacentral:rRNA from 1 species
GUAAGGGCGACUGAAACGGGAGUAGCCCAGCGCAAAGCCUCGUGCUUCCUAACGGGGCACGAGGGGUGCUGCGUUUGGGAGAGGUCUUGCACGCGGUCCCGCGCCGCCUAAGUUGUACAUGAAUGACUCUAAUGCCCAAGGAGGGUGUCAGGCCCGUGUGGCGGUAAAAGACCCCCGAAGGGGGGAAGGUACGGGACUGCGGAAAGGGCCUCUCCUUAGAGUCGGGUUGCCUGAAACCGCAACCUAAAGUAGGUGGUAAACUCCAUCUAAGGCUAAAUACGACCACGAGACCGAUAGCGAACAAGUACCGUGAGGGAAAGUUGAAACAGAACCCUGUA